UACAGAGGUCUCAAGCGUUGUUCGGAUUCAUUGGGCGUAAAGGGUGCGUAGGUGGCGCGCUAAGUCAGGUGUGAAAUCUCGGAGCUUAACUCCGAAACUGCAUUUGAUACUGGCGUGCUUGAGGACUGGAGAGGAGACUGGAAUUCACGGUGUAGCAGUGAAAUGCGUAGAUAUCGUGAGGAAGACCAGUGGCGAAGGCGGGUCUCUGGACAGUUCCUGACGCUGAGGCACGAAGGUCAGGGGGAGCAAAACAGG
rnacentral:rRNA from 1 species